rnacentral:rRNA from 1 species
GACGAACGCUGGCGGCGUGCCUAAUACAUGCAAGUAGAACGCAGUUGCGAACGGGUGAGUAACGCGUAGGUAACUGCCUCAUGGCGGGGGAUAACUAUUGGAAACGAUAGCUAAUCCCGCAUACUGUGAGAUGGACCUUCGUUGUAUUAGCUAGUUGGUGAGGUAAAGGCUCACCAAGGCGACGAUACAUAGCCGACCUGAGAGGGUUAGCUGCCAAACUGGGAAUUGGAAACGGGCCAGACUCCGACGGGAGGGAGCAGUAGGGAAGCUUCGGAAAUGGACGGAAGUCUGACCGAGCAAAGCCGCGUGAGUGGAGAAGGUGUGCGGAUCGUAAAGCUAUUUUGUGAGAGAAGCGGUACCUAACCAGAAAGGGACGGCUAACUACGUGCCAGCCGCCGCGGUAAUUC